GAACCGUUGGCGGCGGGUUUAGGCAUGCAAGUCGAACGCGAAAGCAUCCUUCGGGGUGUGAUUAGAGUGGCGAACUGGUGAGUAACAGGUGGGUAAUGUGCCCCGUAGUGUGGGAUAACUGCUGGAAACAGCAGCUAAUACCUCAUGUGGCCGUGUGGACGUUGGUCCGUACGGUUGAAGAUGCGCUUCGCGCGUGUCGCUACGGGAUCAGCCGCCCCCGAUUAGCUAGUUGGUGGGUAAAAGCUCACCAAGGCUACGAUCGGUAGCUGGUCUUAGAGGAUGGUCAGCCACACCGGGAUUGAGAUACUGCCCGGACUCCUACGGGAGGCAGCAGUCUAGAAGCUUCUACAAUGCGCGAAAGCGUGAUAGAGCGACGCCGCGUGCGGGAUUGAAGGCCGUGAGGUCGUAAACCGCUGUCAGCAGGAAAGAAUGCCUGGAUGGCGAAUCCAGGAGAGACGGUACCUGCAAAGGAAGUCCUGGCUAACUCCGUG
rnacentral:rRNA from 1 species